AUUGUAUGAACUUCUGACUCACUGCAUCCCACCAGAAGUCAUCAUGAAGGGCCUGGUGACAGAGUUGCUAAGUAACUGCGAUGGACAUUUGAAGGCUGAGGUGGUUCAGAUGGCGGCAUACUAUGAGCACAGACUGCAGCUUGGAAGCAAAGCAGUCUACCACCUGGAGGCCUUUGUGGCUAAAUUCAUGGCCAUCUACAAGAAGUUUAUGGAAGAUGGACUUGACAACUUUAUGUUCUGAGCCACUGUAGCCUAAAAGAAUAAGAUAUAUUAAUUAACUGUUUGUUUUUCAUAAUAAAAACCAUUUCAAAUGUU